UACGAAGGUGGCAAGCGUUGUUCGGAUUUACUGGGGCGUAAAGGGAGCGUAGGCGGUUGGGUAAGCCCUCUGGGAAAUCUUCCGGCUUAACCGGGAAAGUCAGAGGGGACUGCCUGACUAGAGGACGGGAGAGGAGCGCGGAAUUCCCGGUGUAGCGGUGAAAUGCGUAGAGAUCGGGGAGGAAGGCCGGUGGCGAAGGCGGCAUCCUGGACCGGCAUUGACGCGUGAGGAGCGAA
rnacentral:rRNA from 1 species